rnacentral:misc_RNA from 1 species
UCGUAACAAGGUUUCCGUAGGUGAACCUGCGGAAGGAUCAUUACAGUAUUCUUUUGCCAGCGCUUAACUGCGCGGCGAAAAACCUUACACACAGUGUCUUUUUGAUACAGAACUCUUGCUUUGGUUUGGCCUAGAGAUAGGUUGGGCCAGAGGUUUAACAAAACACAAUUUAAUUAUUUUUACAGUUAGUCAAAUUUUGAAUUAAUCUUCAAAACUUUCAACAACGGAUCUCUUGGUUCUCGCAUCGAUGAAGAACGCAGCGAAAUGCGAUAAGUAAUAUGAAUUGCAGAUUUUCGUGAAUCAUCGAAUCUUUGAACGCACAUUGCGCCCUCUGGUAUUCCAGAGGGCAUGCCUGUUUGAGCGUCAUUUCUCUCUCAAACCCCCGGGUUUGGUAUUGAGUGAUACUCUUAGUCGGACUAGGCGUUUGCUUGAAAAGUAUUGGCAUGGGUAGUACUAGAUAGUGCUGUCGACCUCUCAAUGUAUUAGGUUUAUCCAACUCGUUGAAUGGUGUGGCGGGAUAUUUCUGGUAUUGUUGGCCCGGCCUUACAACAACCAAACAAGUUUGACCUCAAAUCAGGUAGGAAUACCCGCUGAACUUAAGCAUAUCAAUAA